CCUUUCCAUAAAAAGUGAUAUUUUUCUGUAACUGUACUUAUUUUUAAGUCCUGGAGCCCUUUAGUAGUGUGAAAGUUUGUUCAUUUAUAUCUGUUUCUGCUCACAAAAUUGCUUUCUUGUAUAGUUAAUGUAUGAAAUAGUUAAACCAAUUUGGAUAGCUGUCUGAGUACCAUCAGCUUUUUUAAAUAAGUGGUUUAUUUGGGUAGAAAAAGUGAAUAUUUAAAAAUUCAUGAAUGAUAGUCCCCUGGGAAAUAUAUAAAAUAUGCAGUCACCUUGAAAAAUACUAAAAUCCAGGUCUUCUGAAAAUUAAAGACCAUAGUGAGUUUUAAGUACUUUCAUUUAGGAUAUUAUUCGUAUUGCUUGAUCUAUGACAUUUUGAAUUGCGGAUUCAUAUAAGAAGAUUUUAUAGUAAUAGAUGUGUAUUUUAUACAUAGUAAACAUUUGUCUGGAGAGGAAACAUGUUGAAAGUUAAUCAUGGUUGAUUCAGUUGACAGCCUGCCUUUCUUUGCAUCAAGUAGUUUAAGGGACAUCUAUUGAGCAGAUUUGGCCUUUAUAAGAGGUGAGUUUUUGGAAUAACUACUGGGCCAUGGCACAGCUAAAGUGGAAAGGUACAGACUUUCCCUUAUAAAUAUCAGGAAUCAAAAUGCUCCUGGAACUUGAAAAUUACUUUAUUUUGGUGUGAUUCGGGUGGGGGGGGUACGUUCAUUUUGCAUAAAGAAACAUUUUACCUAAUACCAGACUUUGCAAACAUAUGAGUUGGCAACUCAUCAUAACCCAUGGCCCUUCCUGGAAAAUAAAAAAUUUUUAAAUGAAAGAAUGCUUUAUAGAAUAGUAAUUCAGUAUCAUUACUUUGGAAAAGUAGGUUUGUGCAAUUGUUGGGUCAAAGGACACAAUAGAAAUUCUGAAUGGGGUGAGUAGGGUAUUUAAGUAUUGUUCAUUAUCUUUUUUAUGAAAAAGAUAAUUAACUAUGCCCUUCUAGGUAAUCUGUGUUGAAAACUGGUUUGCCCUGAUUAAAACUGGUUAGUUAUACAGUGGAAAGCCUAAGGCUGACAGUAGGAAUCUACUGAAACAGUUGUUUCAUUUGUAUUUUUAAAUACCAAGUUUUUGUUUCAAUAUUGCCUUAUGUUAUAGUUUAUAAAGUAUUUUCAUAUAUUUU
rnacentral:lncRNA from 1 species